UGGGGAAUAUUGGACAAUGGGCGAAAGCCUGAUCCAGCAAUACCGCGUGUGUGAAGAAGGCCUUCGGGUUGUAAAGCACUUUAAGUUGGGAAGAAAAAACUUUACCUAAUACGUGAAGUCUUGACGGUACCGACAGAAUAAGCACCGGCUAAAUCUGUGCCAGCAGCCGCGGUAAUACAGAGGGUGCUAGCGUUAAUCGGAUUUACUGGGCGUAAAGCGUGCGUAGGUGGUUUGAUAAGUCGGUUGUGAAAGCCCCGGGCUCAACCUGGGAAUUGCGGCCGAUACUGUCAGACUCGAAAACGGUAGAGGGAGGUGGAACUCCAGGUGUAGCGGUGAAAUGCGUAGAUAUCUGGAAGAACAUCGAUGGCGAAGGCAGCCUCCUGGGCCUGUUUUGACACUGAGGCACGAAAGCGUGGGUAGCAAACA
rnacentral:rRNA from 1 species